UGUGACGGCCUGAACUGCCGGUCGUAGAGGCGCCAGGCCAGGGCGUGGGCCACCAGCAGGUUGUGCGCCGCCCCAUAGGUGUCGUUGCCAGAGCGGUUGUAGAUGUCACUUAGCCGGUUAGGCUCGUUGAUGGUGAUCCAGAGCUUCACCAGGUCCCCCAGCUCCUGGAAGCACAGCCCAGCAUAGGCCUGGAAGGCCUCGGCCGUCGAUGGGUUCAGCCACCCGUCGGCAUGCAACAGAGGCUCGGGGAGGCCUAGAGAAAGGAUUUUGCCACACAGGACCAGGGCCAGGCUGGUCCUGACAGGCCAGACAGGUCCUGACCUCAAGUGAUACGCCCGCCUCGGCCUCACAAAAUGCUAGGAUUACACGUGUGGGCCACCAAGCCUGGCCAGCAUCAGAUUACUUCUUAAUUAAAAAUGGAAAAGUUACCAUAUGGCAAAUAUCACCUUUUUUUUUCUUUUUUCUUUUUUUUGGGGGGGAGUAGGGAGGAGGGACAGGGUCUUGCUCUGUUGCCCACACUAGACUGUAUCCUCAACCACCUGGGCUCAAGUGAUCUACCCACAUCGGCCUCUCAAAGUGCUGGGAUUACAGGAGUGAACAAGUGUGCCUAGCCACAAAUGCCACCUUAACCAAGAAAUCUGGUGAUACUACUUCAACCACAGUAAUAUCUUCAGUAAUGAAACAAAUUGACAUCAUUUACCUCCUGAUGUGAUAUAAAGGCACAUCAUCUAUGUAGUAUUAUUUCCAGAAAUGGUUAACUGAGUCAUUAGACUCAGAAGAACAACCAGAGAAAUCUACAAGCAGUUGGCCUGGACUCUUCAAACGGAUCAAUGCCAUGAGGUGAUUGUCCUGAAUUAAAGGAAGCUAACAAUACAUGACAA